rnacentral:lncRNA from 1 species
AAGCAAAGGGAAUCAAAGGACUGUUAAAGCUCUGAUGUAUGAGCUGCUUGGGCACUGUGAGAUGUUUUAAGAUUAUUCAACAAGGAAAUGACAGUGAACUAGACUCCAACAACUUGUGAAAUUUAAUGAAUCUAUUCAACUAGUGUCAGCUGCAUCAAUAAAUAAUUUAAUGAGAAAUCGUCA